GAUGAACGCUAGCGGCAGGCCUAAUACAUGCAAGUCGAACGGUGUCUUCGGACAUAGUGGCGCACGGGUGCGUAACACGUAUGCAACCUACCUUACAUUGGGGGAUAGCCUUUCGAAAGGGAGAUUAAUACCGCAUAAGACAGUAGCUGGGCAUCCAGCAGCUGUUAAAGAUUUAUCGAUGUAAGCUGGGCAUGCGUCCAAUUAGCUAGUUGGUGAGGUAACGGCUCACCAAGGCAAUGAUUGGUAGGGGAACUGAGAGGUCAAUCCCCCACACUGGCACCGAGAUACGGGCCAGAAUCCUCCGGGAGGCAGCAGUAGGGAAUAUUGGGCAAUGGACGCAAGUCUGACCCAGCCAUGCCGCGUGCAGGAUGAAGGCGUUAUGCGUUGUAAACUGCUUUUAUACAGGAAGAAACGACUCUUGCGAGAGGCAUUGACGGUACUGUAUGAAUAAGCACCGGCUAACUCCGUGCCAGCAGCCGCAGUAAUAC
rnacentral:rRNA from 1 species